GCAUUGCUGCUUCUGCCUUGUUCUUUUGGAUCACUUGGUCUGGGUGAAGCCAGACACCUUGCCAUGAGGUUACUUGAGCUGUCCUGUGGAGAGGCCCAUGUAGAGGGGAACCGAUUCGCCAGCACCAUCUUGUCAACCAUGCGUCUGGAAGGAAAGUAAGAUACACACAAAUCAAAGAGAUUAUUGAAGAUGUACGCAUGGUGUAAGGCAAGAUAAAGUACCCCAGUGUUAAUAAUAGCAAAGGCUCCAUGAUCAUCCCAUAUCUGAAGGAGUGAGAGGAAAAAACUGUGUGGAAAGGACACAGAAGCUGCAGUCUUGCACUCCAAAGUUUCUCCUCUAGGAUUGGCUACAUAAUUUCAAGACCCAAUACAAAGUGAAAAAACACGGCUCCUUGUUCAAAAUUAUUAAGGAUUUCAAGACAGUGACAGCAGAACAUUAAACCAAGCAUGAGGCCCUGCUAACAUGGGACCCUGUGUGUGAUAACACAAGUCACAUGGCCAUGAAGUUGCAUCUAAUCUCUUCCCUCUUUCCAAUCUUCCAUUGGCUAAAUCCAACUGGUAACCAGAACUCAAAGAAGCUUAUUUGCUGAAUGCCUGAUUCCUGGGGACACAGAACUGAGUAAAAAGGAUGAAGUUUGGAUCUGUACCAGUACCAGUGAAUAGGGUUGUAUCUAGACAGUUUCCAGCCUUUCCAGCAGAAAAAAGAUAGCCAGCCCAGAUAAGUGUAGAAAAUAUUUAUCUCUAUGACCUUCUAUGUCUGAGUGACAGAGGGUGAAGAAGGUAUAAGACACUUUAGUAUUAGUCAAUAAUGAUUAAGUAUAGGCACAUUUCCAAAAUGAUUAAAGAACAAACACAAAUAUCAAAUAAGUAGUAUUGAGAAGAGAAAGUAAGUAAUAACCCCAGGGUUUCAACUGCAUCAUUGGCUCUGGGGUCUGGCCAACCUCUGCCCCAGUACUGGCCUUGACUUUUGGUAGCUGUGUAAUGAUAGGAAAAUUGCUCAUUUUUAUCGCUAGAGUCUGUAAAGCACAGAUAAUUAUUUCAGAGGUUGUUGUGGGUUAAAUUAAAGGAUGUCCCUAGCCACCAGUGGGUGUUCAAUAAAUGUUGGACAAUAGAAGAAAGCUGGGAUCACAGACGGUAAUAGAUGAGUUGGGAAAAGGUCUUUCUAGUUCUAUGGAUUUCUGGGAAAGGGGAAAUGUUUGUUCUACAGUUUUAGAGCUCCGGUGGUUAGGAAGUUUUCUCUAAAGCCAUCAUAGAUGGCUACUUCUGAAGAAUAUAGCCAUUUUUCAGAGAAUGCUAUUUGAUUUUCCUGCUGGGCUUGACAGAAAGGAUAGAGACUACAGGCAGGCAGACAUGGUUACAAAUCCUGUCUCCACCAGUGAGUAGUGGCAAGUUGUCUUAAGUCCUUUGGCACAAAUGUCAAUAGUGUGCCAAAGAAAUGCUCAAAUUUCUACCUAAUCUGCCACUCUUUUUUACUUUUUCAGUUGAGCUGGAUUUAGGAAUCAUUUCUUUUGCCCUUCUUCCCUAAAGCUUAAGCAGUUGCCAUCUCCAGCAGUCAGCUGUGCUUCUUUUCUGUGGGUUUCACCCUUGUUCCCUGGGCCUUCCUGGUCACAGAAGUCUCAGCGAGAGAGUUGAGAGGGGAAGAAAAGAACAAGAAUCUGUGUUCACUUCUGCAGGAAAGUUCUAGUUCCUCAUUGGCUUUUAUCCAGACCUGGUUUAAAUUUCUCUGCCUUGGGAAAGAAGAAAGCAAAAGAGGAAGCUUUGUGCCUCCCUUCAGGAAGUAUAUGAGUUGAGUAAAAUGUGUCUCUAGCAGGUUGAAUAGUGCCCCCCCCCUCCCCGCCCCAGAUAUCUCCAUGGUCUGCGAAUGUUACCUUAUUUGGCAAAUGAAAUCUUUGCAGAUGUACUUAAAUUAAAGAUCUCCAAAUGAGAUCAUUCUAGAUACUCUGGGUGGGCCCUAUAUCUGAUAACAAGUGUCUUCAUAAGACACACAAUAGGGAUAGUCAUGGAGAGAAGAGAGGGCCAUGUACAUAUGGAGGCAGGAAUUGGAACCCUGGAAUCCACCAGAAGCUAGAAGAGAUAAGGAAGGAUUUAGAAGGCACACAACCUGACACCACCUUGAUUUCAUAGUUCUGGACUCGAGAACUAUGAAAGAACAGAUUUCUAUUGUUUUAAGCCACAGAGUUUGUGGAUAUCUGUUACAAGCAGCUCCAGGAAUCAAUGCAAUAUCCAAUCAACACCAAUCAUAAUGAGUAUACGCACUACUACUAAUAGCUGCUCUGUAUUGAGCAUGAAUGGAAGAUAGCAGUCUCUCGAAGCUGCAAGAGAGGAGCUGGCUCCUCAUGUUAUUCCCAACCUGUCCAUCUUCAGCAAGCUGGAUUGUGUUAUGAUAAAAAUGUAUUUUGUUUUUGGUCCUGUUCCUGGCUUGAGAAUUUCCUGAGAAACCCUGAGAAUUUCCUGAGUGGUAAGAGUGUUUUUUGUAUGCUAAUGAGAUGAUCCCUAGAUAGUGUCAGGAUGAGGGCCUGAAUGCCAGAAAAACUGACCAUGGGAUUAGAGGGUUAGAACUUUUGACCUGCCACCCACCCUCUCACUGCUGAGAGAUUAGUCCAAUAGCUAAUGAUUUAAUCAACCAUGUUUACAUAAUGGAACCUCCACAAAAAUCUCUAACCAAGGUGGUUUUUGAGAGUUUCUGAGUUGGUGAAGCCAUCAACAUGCUGUGAGGAUGGCACAUCACGGAAGCUCUACACAUACCACCACCUUGGCCCCCACAUCUUCUUCCAUCGGGCUGUUCCUGAGGUGUAUCCUGUAUAAUAAACUGAUAAUCAUUAAGUGAA